AGAAGUUGGGGUUGAUGAUCCACAUGAUGGUGAUGGACCAGGACAGCUCUGGACCUCCUGACUGGCAGCUCCAUCCUCAACCUCUCUUCCUGCCCUUCACACGUGUGCAGGCAGCCAGUUUUCUGAAAGAUGGUUGAUGUCAGUACCAACAUGUUGUGAUGGAGGCUUCCACCUGAGCUGAACACAGAAACUUGCACACAGUGUUGGAAGCAGUCGUUCCUGCUCAGCAUCGAUAUGCCAGUAAUGGGUUUGAUGAGCCACAGCAUGGUGAUGGGCAAUCCGCAUCAGGACCAGGGCAGCUCACAAGGAGAACCUCCUGCCCUGCCUCGUCAUCCUCAACCUCCCAUCUCCCUGCUCUUCACACAUGUGCAGGCACGGAGCCAGUUUUCAGAGGGAGGGCUGAUGACACCAGCAACUUUGGUGAACCUGAUCAACCCAGCACCAACCACUGUGCCCCUCCUCCUCUGCCAACUGCACCACAUGGCUCCACCAUCUCAAAAAGGCACAGACACUACUCCUACUACUUCCUGCGAAGGAUGAGAGAAGAGCCGACCGCCCCACAUCGGCACUCACCACCUUCUACAGGGGUGUCAUUGAGAGCAUCCUGACCAGCAGCCUCUCUGUCUGGCAGCCGUCAAGCUGAAGACUAGAAGGCAGUACAGAGAGUGUGGUGAGAACGGCAGAAAAGCUCAUAAGAUCACCCCUACCAGCCAUUCAGGAUCUGUACACUUCACACUGUUCCAAGAGGGCAAUGAACAUCAUAAAGACACAACUCAUCCAGCAUACAGACUGUUCUCCCUACUACACAAGCACACUGGGAAACGGCUUCUUUCCACAAGCCAUCAGACUCCUCAACGCACUGAAGAAAACCACAUGAAUAUUCCAAGGACACUGGAGAAUAUUCCAUGAACACUUCUUUCACCAUGCCACUUACACUUUACUCAUUGCUCCUUAUAUACAGCAUCUUCACAUCACCUGUAUGAUCUCCUCCUGCCAUGUGUGUGUGUGUGUGUGU